rnacentral:rRNA from 1 species
UACCUGCAGCUCAAGUGGUGAUCAUUAUUAUUGGGCCUAAAACGUCCGUAGCCGGUUUAGUAAAUGCCUGGGUAAAUCGUGUAGCUUAACUAUACGACUUCCGGGUAGACUGCUAAACUUGAGACCGGGAGAGGCUAGAGGUACUCCUGGGGUAGAGGUGAAAUUCUGUAAUCCUAGGGGGACCACCAGUGGCGAAGGCGUCUAGCUAGAACGGGUCUGACGGUGAGGGACGAAGCCCUGGGGCACAAACCGGAUUAGAUACCCGGGUAGUCCAGGGUGUAAACGCUGCUUGCUUGAUGUUAGUUGGGCUCAGAGCCCAACUAGUGUCGGAGAGAAGUUGUUAAGCAAGCUGCCUGGGAAGUACGGUCGCAAGGCUGAAACUUAAAGGAAUUGGCGGGGAGCACAGCAACGGGUGGAGCCUGCGGUUU